UACGUAGGGGGCAAGCGUUGUCCGGAUUUAUUGGGCGUAAAGAGCGUGUAGGCGGCCAGACAGGUCAGCUGUGAAAACUCGAGGCUCAACCUCGAGACGUCGGUUGAAACCGUCUGGCUAGAGUCCGGAAGAGGAGGAGUGGAAUUCCUGGUGUAGCGGUGAAAUGCGCAGAUAUCAGGAGGAACACCAAUGGCGAAGGCAGCACUCUGGGACGUGGACUGACGCUGAGACGGCGAAAGCCCAGGGGAGCAAACGGG
rnacentral:rRNA from 1 species